UGGGUCGUUAGCUUAAUCGGUAGAGCAGUUGACUUUUAAUCAAUGGGUCGGAGAAUUGAAUUUGAUGGCUUUUGACUCAU
rnacentral:tRNA from 1 species